rnacentral:rRNA from 1 species
CGGUUAGUCCGGCAACGAGCGCAACCCACGUCUUUAGUUGCCAUCAGUUCGGCUGGGCUACUCUAAAGAGACUGCCGGUGAUAAGCCGGAGGAAGGUGUGGAUGACGUCAAGUCCUCAUGGCCCUUACGGGUUGGGCUACACACGUGCUACAAUGGUGGUGACAGUGGGUUAAUCCCCAAAAACCAUCUCAGUUCGGAUUGUCCUCUGCAACUCGAGGGCAUGAAGGUGGAAUCGCUAGUAAUCGCGUAACAGCAUGACGCGGUGAAUACGUUCCCGGGCCUUGUACACACCGCCCGU